ensembl:lncRNA
CUGUAAUUUGUUGGGGAGGAUUCAACCUCUAUCAAUGUCCAUGUGAAGGUUCUGCACAACCAAUACAGCAAUACAGCACCUGACAUCCUGACUGUUAAGGACCGAAAGAAGCAAACAUUUCCUCUAAAGCAUCUGGAAAUUGCAGAAGCUGUUGGCUGUUAACAACGUCCUGAAGAAAUACCUAUUAUUAAGCUUCUGGGAAGCUGUUCUUAAUAAUGGGUAUUUCUUCAGGACAUUGUUAACAGCCAACAGCUUCUGCAAUUUCCAGAUGCCUCAGAGGAAAUGUUUGAUUCAAUCGUUCCUUAACAGUCAGGAUGUCAGGUCCUGAUGCCCACCCAGUCAACCCAUGGAGUCCUGAUGCCCACCCAGUCAACCCAUGGAGUCCUGAUGCCCACCCAGUCAACCCAUGGAGUCCUGAUGCCCACCCAGUCAACCCAUGGAGUCCUGAUG